AAGUCGUAACAAGGUUUCCGUAGGUGAACCUGCGGAAGGAUCAUUAAUGAAUGAUAAUUUUUUGGGGUUUUCCCUGAAAAAUAAUUCACCUUUUGUGCAUUGUUAUUAGAUAUACUUUGGUUAGAGCUUUGAUUUCGUAUAUUGGAAUCAACUUCUUGCUAACUCUAUCCUUUCUGAGGACAGUUGGCUAUGAAGCGGCCUACCAAGGUUUUUUAUCAAACUCUUGUAUUUUAUCUGACCUAAACUAUUAUAAUUAAAUCAUAACUUUCAACAACGGAUCUCUUGGCUCUC
rnacentral:misc_RNA from 1 species